GGGGUUGUAGCUCAGUGGUAGAGUGCUUACUUAGCACGUGUGAAGCCCUGGGUUUGAUUCUCAGCACCG
rnacentral:tRNA from 1 species